CCUACGGGAGACAGCAGUGAGGAAUAUUGGUCAAUGGACGAGAGUCUGAACCAGCCAAGUAGCGUGAAGGCUGACUGCCCUAUGGGUUGUAAACUUCUUUUAUAUGGGAAUAAAAUGUUCCACGUGUGGGAUUUUGUAUGUACCAUAUGAAUAAGGAUCGGCUAACUCCGUGCCAGCAGCCGCGGUCAUACGGAGGAUCCGAGCGUUAUCCGGAUUUAUUGGGUUUAAAGGGAGCGUAGGUGGAUUGUUAAGUCAGUUGUGAAAGUUUGCGGCUCAACCGUAAAAUUGCAGUUGAAACUGGCAGUCUUGAGUACAGUAGAGGUGGGCGGAAUUCGUGGUGUAGCGGUGAAAUGCUUAGAUAUCACGAAGAACUCCGAUUGCGAAGGCAGUUCACUGGACUGCAACUGACACUGAGGCUCGAAAGUGUGGGUAUCAAACAGGAUUAGAUACCCUAGUAGUC
rnacentral:rRNA from 1 species